rnacentral:rRNA from 1 species
UACGUAGGGUGCGAGCGUUGUCCGGAAUUAUUGGGCGUAAAGGGCUCGUAGGCGGUUUGUCGCGUCGGGAGUGAAAACCCAGGGCUUAACUCUGGGCUUGCUUUCGAUACGGGCAGACUAGAGGUAUGCAGGGGAGAACGGAAUUCCUGGUGUAGCGGUGAAAUGCGCAGAUAUCAGGAGGAACACCAAUAGCGAAGGCAGCUCGCUGGGACGUUACUGACGCUGAGGCGCGAAAGCGUGGGGAGCGAACAGG